GUCUCACCGGGUCGUUUCUUGAGAUAUGUCUCUUUGGGCCUGCUAACGUCUGCGGCUCCUUCGGCCCAGUAUUUUUGAAGCCCAAUGUUGGCAUUUGUCUCUAAACAAAUGUCUUAUUGCUAGUUUAGUCGUUUUUAAUGAUUUUAUGGGACGAUCAUGUAUGGGUCGAGACCACUUACUGGAUGGAUAAAUUUAACUAUGGGCCUGACUGGUUCAAACGCAGCGGUUGCAGUUGCGAGAGUUUGUGGAUGUGGACGGUUGCAGUUUCUAGCAGUUUUAAGAGAUUUGUACGACUGGUACUGCGGUUAAAAAUUGGUGCGUUUGCGGGUGACUUAUGACUGGUUAACUACCAAAUACGGUAACAGUCAAAUAAUAAAUUAACAAUAUUUACAUUUAAUAUAAUUAUAAAAAUAUCAAAAAUUAUAAAAUUAUAAUAAAUAUAAAAUUUAUAUUUAGAAAGUUAUAAUUUUAAUUUUUGAAAAUUUAUUGAAAUUGUUUUUAUUAUAAAAUUUUAUAAUAUUAAUUAAAAUAUAAUAGAUAUAUUUUAAUAUUUUCAUAAUUUCAAUUUUAAAUUUUUUAUUAAAUAUUUUUACUUUUGUAUAUAUAUUGUUUUAAAAAAAGAGACAAUGUGUGGAAUAUCCUCAAUUAAGGUCUAAAUUUGCUGAAUGCCCAUAAUUAUGGAUAACCCAAAAAUGAGUAAUUUUUUAACACUGUGCGGACAAAAAUGCCCUUAUGCUUUGUCGAAAACAAGUAACUCUAGAUCUAUCAGCUAAAUAUUUACAUAGCAGGUAACAAUCUACAUACCAACUAACAUAUUCGCUAAUAAUUUCAGUAUCAUCUAACAAUCUAUGUAUCAAACAAAUGUAUCGACUAACAAAUCAUAUAUCAGUUAAUGAAACUAUUAACAAUUAAUUAGUUAUCUCUAAAUCUAUUUGUAACAGCUAACACUUCAUGUAUCGAUUAAGAAUCCAUUAAAAUCUAAAUAAUAGCAGGUAAGUAAUAAAAUACCUACUAACGUAUAUAUUAUCUAAAAGUUGAUUGUGAUUCGAAAUUGGAAACAUUGGAAUUGGGGUGAGAUAAUAAGAUUAACAUUAUGGGUGUCAAAAGAUUCAGAAUAAAAAAAUAAAGAUUUGUGUUGAAUCAGAAGAUGAUUUGAAGAAUUUAUACGAGACAUAAAGAGAUUAGAACACAUAAAAGGGAGAAGAGAGAGAGAUAUAGAUAAGGAUAUUAUAGUCACUAAAAAUAUUAAAAAGAAACAAGGUUAUAUGACAAAUUACAUGGGUUUUUGGGUGCAUCUACGCCAAUUACUCUUAAAAAAAAGAAUUUUUUUUUACUCUCCCGUAACCGCCCGCAACCGCAAACGCUAGCUGGAACCGGCUUUUGGAUUUAUGAGAUUCAGAGCGGUUUAAAACGGUUUAGAGCGAUUUGAGUGAAUAUUGCAAACCGCCGACAACCGCUACCAACCGCAAAAGUUGUGUUUGCGGAUGGUAGCGGGAAAACCAAUCGCCCUCUAUGACGGUUCAUUUACUAACUGUAAAAUGAUCUCGAGCUUUGGUUGGCUUAUUUGGGAUUAAAAGAGGAAUAUAUUUAGGAAUAGGAUCAUGUCAAGCAGAGAACAUAACACCAACAUGGAGUUGAAGCCUAAUGUUGGCAUUCAAAACUGAUUACUUAAUCUUAAAAUCUAAAGAUAAAUCUAAAGAAUGUGGUAUAUUUUACACAGCUUUAUAAAAAGGUAACCUGUUUUGUAGUUUAGAGUUUUUAAAAUAUAUAUUUUCCUCACUAUCCUUUAUUUUAUUUUACAUUAGUGAUGUGAUACGGAGCAAUCCAUAACAGCUCCACAUCGUAAUUGAUAAGAAAAUUGUAAUAAACAAUUCGAAAAUAACAUCCUAAACUAGUGAUUCAAAUAUUUUAACUAUUGAUGUGCUUAAAGAAUGGAUAGAUGUUUGGGGGUAGCCAGUAACGCUCCACGGCUCCAGCUGUCCAAAGUAAAGUUGUAAACAUACAUGCACGUACGUAGGCUUUGAGCCAAAUAGUUAAUUAAUUAUGGUACAUGUUUGUAAAUUGAUUCAACGGAUCUGCCUAAGAUUUACUAGUUCAGUUUGGAAAGGUUAGAUGCUAACUUAAGCCUUAUGAUCUCUUCUUUGUUAUUUUAAUCGAUCUUCUUGGUUAAAACAAGAAAAAAGCGGAAAAGGUUACCGGAGCGGCGUCAACGGUAAGAGGGGGAGGUGAGUUAAGGAAGCUGAUCUCCGAUGCUUAAGCCGUAAUUCUUUCCGUGUAAACAACUUGGUUAAUAUAUAUAUAAAAUGGUCAAUCUUGUCUAGUUUUUAUUUGGAAUCUUGCUUGCUUACUUGUUUCUUCAUAUUGAUAAAGUCAAAUUCAAUAGUCAGGCAAUAUCUUUAUAUUUCGUCCAUGCAGAAAUCUUAGAUUUGAUUCUGUUUAUAUCCAAAUUUUUAUUUUUAUUUUAUUGCAUGCCAAUGGAUUUUUUUUCUUAUAUAUCACGAUUUUUUUUUGUUGUAAAAUAUAGAACCAAAUUAGAUAAUAACUUUUUGGGGUGAAAUUCAUAGUAUAACUAUGAUCAUUUGCAGAGAAUACAUUCGGUGGUUUCAGGAUGGUUCCUCAGCCUCCUAAGUCGCGUAUGUAACUUGAGAUUCAAGAUUCCUUUUUUAUUCCUUCAACAUUCAAAUAUGGUUCCUGUAUAGAGUAAAAAGUCUUAUUGAUUCCUUCAAAUCUAAUUCUGUUUUUUAAUAAAGAAAGUAUUAUCAAAAUUCCCCUAUAAAUACAUAGGUUUAGGAGCAUCCUAAAUAUCACAAACAAUUCACCCUAAAUCAAAACCAGGAAACACAAACACUCCUACAUAUCAAUCAUGAUGAACAACAACAACAACAAGAACAAUCUGAAGAUGAGUUCGGCGCAAGAAAGUGGUAAUGGUACUUACUAACAUCGUUAUUACAGAGACGAGGAAUAAUAAGAAGGUAGAGAGAAAGGCAUCCAUGGACGUGGACAAGUGCGCGGAAGCUUUCAUCACAAACUUCAGAAAGCAGCUAGCUUCUUCUCCAGCGUCUCGAAUCCAUCGAAAACAUGCUCUCCCGUGGCCUAUAAUAUUAUUUAUCAAUACACACUUCUAUGUAUGUAUUACUACGUAUGUAUUAUUUCUUUCUUUUAUAUAUAUGCGCUAGCUGACUCCGAACGUCUAGUAUGCAUAUUGUUACUAGUUGGUAAAAAAUAUUGUAUGUCAUUUAUUAUUUUACUUGUCUGGUGUGAAUUCGGGUAAAUAACUCGAUAAAUCUAAAGCCAAGAGAACAUUCCAAAUUGAGGCGAAUAACUUCUGAAUAUGAUUCUCUUAUUAGAUUUGUGAAACACUCCAUACGACCCCAAUUAAAAGCCCUCUAUAACCUAAAAGUUCGAUACUAGGACAAAUAGCUAUACUGUAAUAUUUUGUUUUCUUAAUUAGAUGUACUGUACCUUUCGGCAUGCAUGUGUUUAUUUUGGUAGAUCUAUCACAAGUACAUCUAUCACACAAAAAAAUCUCAUUUUAGAAUCGGAUAUAUAUUACACCACACACAAGUGUUGUGUGACUUGUUAGGAACCAACUAAAACAAUAUAUGUAAGCAUUAUUCUCUUUGGUGGUCAUAUGAUUUUUCCCUCUGUGCUUAAAUGAUUAAUUUCUAUGUUUUACAAACAUAUCAAAAGUUGAUUAUAAAAACAUCAUUUUUUGGUAUUUAGCUAUUUUCCAUCAGCUUAACCCAAUAGUAUUUGAAUAAAUACAAUAAUACUUUUUGAAUUUACAAUUUAUCAUUAUUAACUAUUAAAUUUGCACAAAAAAUUCAAAACAUAUACAUUUUUUAAAAUAAUUUUAUUUUUGAAAUUUAAAAUUUACUAUUAAAAAUAAAUAGAAAAUAUAAAACAUUUAUUUUUCUGAAACACAAUUUUAUUUUAAAAUAUUUCUCUUUUAGUAACAUUAUAUGAUAAGAAAAGCGAGAGAAUGAUCAUUUCCUCUAGGGGAAUCACAUUCACUGAUUCACGUCGGUUUCUUAUUCAUUACAUCCAAAAACAAACACACCCAAUGUGGACACACGACAACAACAGAAACCAACUAAAACAAUAUAUGUAACACUAAUUCCCUUGGUGGUUAUAUCAUAUAACGAGAAUGAUAAUUCCCUCGGGGGGGAAUCACGUUCACUGAUUCCCGUUGAUCGGUCUCUUAUUCAUCACACACAAAAGCAAACACACCCAAAGCACACACACAAACACAACAAUAGCAGAGAUAGUAAAGGG